UACGGAUGCUGGCCUUCUCAUGGGGCUCUCCGAGGACAGACACCAGGUCACUCAUCACUGCCGUGUCCCCAGGGACCUCUGCCAGCAAGCACCAUGGAAGCAGCUCGAGCCAUUUGCAGCAUGGGUUCCUCCUGGGAGGGACCCACUGACCCGGGUCCCCAGCCCGUCCCUCCCAGUGUUGCCUCACAAGGUCCUCUCUGUGUCCUCAGCCCCACGGGGUGACCUGGCUGAGACGUGGUCAUGAAUCACUGGCCAGAAUCUGGUUGCAAUCAUCUCUUGGCUGGCCGUGGCCACCGAAUCAGGGAACCUAGGUGUCCUGCAAGACAGUGCCCAGGACUGGGGAGGCACCUGCGCCAGGGACCUGCUGGGUGGCCUUGGCAGGCCGCUGGCCUCCAGGUGGCACAGUCGGCCACCCACGGGGAUGGAGGAGCUGGUGGAGAUGGGGUCUUCGGCUGGGAUCCUUGGGAUGUGACUGAUUCUCAAGGGGACGGCUGGGGAGGGGGAGGUCCAGCGCGGCUGACCGUCCCCGUCUGAAGGCCAAGGGCCGGGUCUUGUGGGCAGGGCUGGGAGGAGCGGUGGGGGUGCCAGGUCAGCAGGUCCCACGGGGAGGCAGGCCUGGUGUCCCGAGGACUCCACCAAGAGGCCGGCCUGCAGAGGGAGGGGACGGCAGACCCGGCCUAGGACCCGAGGGCCUGAGGUUCACGAGUGUCCCCGGCUGGAGCUGCUUCCAGGGCACAGCCCACCAGGCCGGGUCCUCCCCAUGGGGAAGGGGCCAUGGGCUCCCAGGUCGCGGGAACCUGUGUCAGCGGUGCUCUCAGCCCGGCAGCCAUGUCACCCCUCUGGCUCUCUCAGCCCCCACCCACCUCGUGCUGUCCUCCACGGUCAGAUGCCGCUGGACGGGCCGCAGCCUCCAGGUCCCAGCCUCCUCUCCACCAGCUGCCAGCUGACCUUGCGACACGCAGGCUGGGAUCGUGACCCUGCGCUGCCCUCUGACCUCCCUGACUCCCACCCCUUGGGAACAGACUGACCCCCUCGCGACCUGGAGGACGCCUCAGAGACUGCCCAGCAGUGGGGUGCAGGGCCUGAGGGCCCACAGGCCCGGGGCCCAGCCCCUGGUCCACCCUGACAGGCCAGCUGACCUGGACGGCCACGUCUUCUGUCCCAGCCUCAGUUUCCCCACUUGUAACACAGGAAACCUCAGUUGACCCGCUGACGUGUGGACAGUGAGGAGUGCACAGGGGACCUGCCCACGGGCCAGGCACACACAGGUGCCCAACAGGGUUGGCCGUGGUCACAUUAUUAAAAUCACUUUUAAAAGGUC